CACGUAGGGGGCGAGCGUUGUCCGGAUUCAUUGGGCGUAAAGGGCGCGCAGGCGGCCCGGAAAGUCGGAUGUGAAAACUCGAGGCUCAACCUCGAGCGUGCACCCGAUACUGCCGGGCUUGAGGCAGGUAGGGGAGAUCGGAAUUCCUGGUGUAGCGGUGAAAUGCGCAGAUAUCAGGAGGAACACCAGUGGCGAAGGCGGCUCACUGGCCCGAUACUGACGCUGAUGCACGAAAGCGUGGGGAGCAAACAGG
rnacentral:rRNA from 1 species